rnacentral:lncRNA from 1 species
UUAGUAUUCAGAGAAUGACCUGAACUUAGCUGUGUUAAGUUGCCUGCUCCACAGGAAACCACCUCUGUAACUGUUGCUUGCUGCUUUCACUUUAGGCAACACCCAAAGCCACUGUCAGAUGUCAUGGAGAUGAGACCUCACAAGCCUACUCAAUGUGAAGAUGAUGAGAAUGAAGACCUUUAUGAUGAUCUGCUUCCACUUAAAGAAUAAACCCUGAGGUAUCAUGAAGAAAUCCAUAUGCCCUGAAGUUACCAUCCUAGAGACAUCAUUUGGAGAGACUACAGUGCACAGAAGUAGAGAGGCCCAGCUGUGCCUUUCCCCAACUGAUGGAGUCUUCUCAGUGUCAGUCACCAGAUAUUUGACCGCAGGUAACUGAAACUGCGGCAAGUGAAACCGCAGAUAAGGAGGGACCACUGUAAAUAAGUGACAUAAAUGAUACCGCAAAGGACCAUAGCCUAACCGGCCAAGCAAACUGGAAGUACCUUUAGACUCAUGCUUUGCCAAGCUCUGUUCCAGAAUCACAUGAUGAAAAGAAUGAUGGAAAGAAAAGGUUUGUGAUAUUAAAAUUAAGGAAAUUACUCCAACUCAGAGUUUCAUCCUAAACUGAGAGACCAACAUCAAAAGAAUCUUCUCAAGUUUCUGAGUGACGGCAAGAAACUAGACUACUGUUACCAAGGAACUUUUUAAAGCAAACUGCUUUUGCUGAUAUGAGGAGAAAGUUAAUUAAUAAGAAAAUAUCUUAAAUGUGUUUUGAAGCUGUUGAAGGUGUGUAACAAUUACUCUGAAUUUAUUAUAGCACCAGUUAGAGACCCAGGAAAAGUAUAAAAUUGCACAUGAGGGCAGAGCUGAGAGAUGACAUCUGCUUUGGGAUUGAAAAAAAAAAAAAAACAGAAAGGGAACAAGAGAAAUAGCAAGUCAUUUAACAGCUGGAAUUCAAGACUCCAGACUCACCUAUAGGACCAAACUGCUCUUGAAAUAUACUAGAUUUCCCUUGGCUCCAGAGGUUUUGCCUUCAUCAAAUGCCUAUAACACUCUCAUUGUCAAAAGGAAUAAGUGAUGGUGAACACUGUGCCAGAUAGGAGGUACCACACACAGGUUCAGCAAAAAGCAGAAGCAAGAGGUAUAUUUUUUGUUAGAUCUUAGUUCAUCCCUAUGUAACAGAUAUUUCAGGGAAGGGAAGGAGAAAAUAACAAAGCUACCUAUGAGCAAAGGUAAAUGGGAUUCCCUAUCCUUGUUUCCCAGUUUCGGUCAUGGUAUUGCUUAUCCAUUAUUAGUUAUCCACUGCUGUGUAACAAAUUACUCCCAAACUUAGCAGCUUCAAACAACAAUAAACAUGUAUUGUGUCACAUAGUUUGUUUCAGGACUUUGGGAGUGGCUCAGCUGAAUGGUUGUGGCUCUAGGUGCUUUUUGUGGUUGCAGUCAAGAAGUCAGCUCAUUCACACAGCUGCAGACAAAAGGACUGGGAUCCUUGCAGUCUGAGGCCUGAUUAGGCAGGGGGCCUGAGUGUGUUGCCACAUGGACCUCCCCAUAGGGCUGCUUUUCGUGGCGUGGCAGCUGACUCCCCCCAGAACAGAUGAUCAAAAGCAGCAAAAGAGAAGCCUCAUAUGGCUUUUGCCCUAGCCUUGGGAAUCACACUCUUCCAUUUCUACAAUAUCCUAUUGGUUACAUAGCAGCCCUAUGCAGUGUGGGAGGGAACUGCAUACAGGCAUGAAUACCAGGAGUGGAAAACCACUAGAGACUGGCUACCAUUGUCAUUUACACAC